rnacentral:rRNA from 1 species
UACGAAGGGGGCUAGCGUUGCUCGGAAUCACUGGGCGUAAAGGGUGCGUAGGCGGGUUUUUAAGUCAGACGUGAAAUCCCUCGGCUUAACCGGGGAACUGCGUCUGAUACUGGAUGGCUUGAAUCCGGGAGAGGGAUGCGGAAUUCCAGGUGUAGCGGUGAAAUGCGUAGAUAUCUGGAGGAACACCGGUGGCGAAGGCGGCAUCCUGGACCAACACUGACACUGAGGAGCGAAAGCCAGGGGAGCAAACGGGG